rnacentral:lncRNA from 1 species
GGAAAGUGUCUCUCUUUAUUACAGACAUUCACUCCUCAUCAGUCCAGGACAGAAGUGGAGGGAUUUGCCACCUAGAGCGAGUGACCUCUCUCACAUUUACAGAAGGAAGGAGUGAAAGGAGGAUUACUGAGGAACACAAACACUCUGCCUCAUUCGCUUUGCAGAGAGGUGACUCAGUUGUGCCGAUGUGUGAAGAGGAUCUGUAAUUGAUGUUAACCACGCUGGGCGCUCAGCCAGAGCAUUCCACCCAGAUGUCCACAGGUGAUUGGCCACUGUGACUUGGCAGCUCGGAUCCAACCAAAGGGGAUGCUGUGAGUGACCUUGGCAGAUGGUCAGAGCCGCAGCCGUAUCAGCUGCCUCGAGGUGAUUUUUAACGCAUUUCUCCAUUUAUUCACUCCUUCGUUUUCUGUGUCACUCCCUCCUUUUCUCUGUCAUCCUCCAUCUUUCUGUCCCUCUGUUUGGUGAUAUAUUUAAAGAGAUGAUAUUGUUUCUGACUGUAAUAUCUUCUGAGGGAGAAAGUGUUUAAUGUUUUUCGACGUGCAUAAGGACUUCUCAUAUCGAAAUAUUAACCCUAAUUUAACCCCUUCAUAAAAUUGAAAAAACAUUUCAGGUA